AAUUAUUUAAUCAGAUAUAUUGCGGAAACAUCAUAUGCCAACAACAAAUGACAUCUCAAGAAGUAAAUAACCGUAAAAAGUGACAUGAAUAAAUGGGUGUUUAAACUUUCAUCCAACUUCAGUAAAAAGUAAUAGUUUCCUAGUUCAUUAUGUGGUGAGAACAUGGUGUGACCACAACCCUUCCCGCAUGCUUGCUGAUACAUCAAUAUAACCCUGGAUCAAGACAAACCAGGGGUGAGAUUGAAUAAUCUCAGCAUGUGAAUUCUUUAACAAGUUAUUGGAAUAAAGUAAAUCUCUCAUUAAAAUUAAUAUAAGUAGAACAACACUUUCAUGGUUUGCUCUCAAAUACUAUAAAGAACACUUCAUCACAAGUUACGGACGAUUUCUUAUGAAUGCAAAUGAAUGCACAUGCCAUGCCAUGCUCUUUCUCAACGUACUCCUUCUCAGGAACAUACAUACAGUGUUAUACCGGUAUAGUUACGACGUUGCGUGACAUAACUUCCAAUGCAUGAUAUGCAAAUAUGCUCGAUACAUGAUAAUUGUUUGCUUACUCAACCAGCAUUCUCAGUCUCUUACUCAUUCUAAUGAUAUAGAAGAUAAAUAGCAAUAACAUAAACUUCGGGUGUAGAAAAUAUUAAAGAAGGUAAGUCAUGAUAAUAUUAUGCAAUUAUAAAUAUGUGGAGGCCACUGAUAAAAAGUUAAAGAGGUAAUAACAUCCCUACAUCCACUUGCCUUCACCGACGAAGAUUAUGGGCUCUAGUUGUGACCCAAAUUAGAACCAUGUGUGCAAGAGUUAUUUUAACCACAAAUACAAGAGAUAAAACUCGCAACAUAUAUACAUACACACUUCCUACGUCGUAAACCCACCCAAAACUGAACUAUAAAAAUAAAGCACGGAUCUACCAAAAAGAGCAACAUGACUUAACAAUUCUGCAUCUUUAAUUCCACAUCACAUAAUAUAGUAAAUAAUAUUAUUUAUAAAAAUUAUAGAAUUAUAUCUAAAACUUUUAUUUAGUCACCACAGUGAAAUGCUAUCAUUUAAAUGUCCUAAAUAUAGACGCAAAACAUUGAACUGUGCUGAUCAAGAAAACAACACAGCACCUAAUCAAAAAGGCACUUACCACAAACCACGAGAUAAAGAAUAACAAGAUCUACAUUUUUCAUAAUUGUGAUAUGCUCUGAUUCAAACAUUAAGAACCUCUAAUAGCCCUCAGAACUUUGACAACAAAAGAAAACAUAAUAAACCAACUUCUAAAAAUCAUGACAGAUGAAACAUAAAAGAUAAAAUAACGCCCUAUGGUAACAAUGUUAAUUACAUUGUUAUCGACGACUUCUGUAUAAACACUUUUUUAGGGAAAAAAGUUUAGACCCCGUAAUAAAAAAAACAAAAACAUCAUAAAUCUGUCAACGCACAAAACUAGCAAUCCAAAUAUAAACGUCUUAAUCUUUCCUCUACCAUUCCUUAACAAUGACAUUACCCAAAUAAACAUGUCUAAAACAACGCCUCGAACAAGGGUAAAGCUCACCUUGAGUUUCAUGAAUAAUCCACAAGGAGAUUAUGGGAAACAUGGAUCUAACACAUCUUCCUACUCCUCUCCUCUUCGUUCCAUUUUUCUACUUCACGUCUUGAUCCACGCUCACAUGGCGGAGAUCUAUGUUGGAGAAGGUGUUGCACAGGAGAGGGAGAAGACCAAACAGUGGCGGCUUGAGGGGAAGGGGGAAUCUG
rnacentral:lncRNA from 1 species